rnacentral:misc_RNA from 1 species
AAGUCGUAACAAGGUUUCCGUAGGUGAACCUGCGGAAGGAUCAUUAACACGUUCCAAAACGUAUCAACCAAACGGUUAAGUGCAAACUUAUUCCCUAUCUGGGAAAGCUGUUCAACACUCCUUAGUGAUGGGUAAGUCUUUGGACUUGCAGGGAGGGUUGAGCUAGGGUCUCGAGCCCGGUGCUUUUCUUUAUAGGCUUUUUCCUUUUUUCUCCAUCACUUCCAACACACCAAUCUAACCCUCUUUAUAACCUUUGACUAAAUCUUUCGAACGAAGAAAUUUGUUUGGAAUUGUAUAUCUAACACUGUACAACUCUUAGCAAUGGAUAUCUUGGUUCUC